rnacentral:misc_RNA from 1 species
UUAAGGCUUAGUUGUUAUUGUUGUUGUAACAAUAACUUAUUCAUAGUGUGACGUACUUCUGUGAAAAGUUGAAUGUGCUUUAUGUAGAAUACCAUAUUUUAUACAUGUUUUGGUCUUAGGAUUGGCUGAAAUUAAUAAAUCCCAACCAUGCUUGAAGGAUGGUCAGUUUAGGUUGAAGGAAAAAGUUCCUGUUCAAGCCAGGUUAUUUUACUGGUUGGGUUGGGUGGGCCCUCGGCCCUUGAGCAAGUGAAAAUGGCAGAUGUCAUUUCUUUUGUUAUUUAUGUUCCAAUAUCACUCUAUGUUCUCUGAACACUAUUGGAGAUGUGUCAUGCUCGCACUACUUGAUCUUAAUACCUGUAUAUGGAUUUGGUAUUAUAGGAUGUUUCGUGAACGAUAUAAUGGAAAAAAUUUUUAUAUUUGAUUGGGCAAAUAUCUUACACUUGCAAUAUUUAUGAGCCCUUAAAGGUUCUUUGUUCAUUUUCUCCUAAUUAAGUUCUUCAGUGCUUGCAGAUA